AAAUAUAUGAUUUAAUUAUUUCAUUCUUCCUAGUUAUCUUUCUCUAGUCGAAGUGUAAUUCAAAAUUUCAAACGGAAUAAUUUUGAUUGAAUUAUCUCAAUUAUUUCGAUAUUUACUUUUUUCGUUUCUACCCUUGUAGUUUUUUGUGAAUACAGACAAUUUUUGGUCUUAUCUUACAUUUAUUUUAAACCUUCCUUUUUCUUUGAUUUCAUUUUAUAUUCAAUUCACAAUUACAAGAGAUGGAAGUGGUCUUUUUUUUUUGAAUCCCUACCUAAAUUUAGAGUAGUAGCAGGACAAAUUUAGAUAGAUAGUCAUCUAUAACUAAUGAAUAUCUACUAUGACAUAUACAUGUGUUUGUUCCAUACCGUAAACCAAUUCGUUGUAUCUUCGAUUCAAUCGUAUUCGAGAAUCAUUCUUGGAAAAAAUCCCCCAGCUGUCUUAUAACGAUUAGAUUAUAUAUACGCCUAGUUCGACCCCCUCACCCUUUUUUGAAUUGAAUCUCUAUUUUUUGUUUAAUUCCCUGGUAAUUGUUUUAAUUUUAUUUAUACUUUUUGAUUGUUAUGAAAACUUUUCCAAAUUUCUUUGGAUUUUUAUCUUUCUGUUCCUUAAGUAGAUUAUCGCGAGCCAUACAUACUUUGUCGCGGUCUAAAAUCCUAUUUUCAUAACUAGUCAAUGAUGCCCUUCCAUGGAUUCACCUAUAUACGCCGCAGCUAAAGUAGCGAAAAUAAGAGCUUGAAUACCGCUUGUAAAUAAUCCAAGGAACAUAACAGGGAUAGGAACUACUAAAGGUACUAACGAAACAAGAACAACAACUACUAAUUCAUCCGCUAAUAUAUUUCCGAAAAGUCGAAAACUAAGUGAUAAGGGUUUUGUGAAAUCUUCUAAGAUGUUAAUCGGUAAAAGGAUUGGCGUUGGUUGGAUGUAUUUACCAAAAUAGGCCAAUCCUUUUUUUGAAAUACCCGCAUAGAAAUAGGCUACUGACGUAAGUAAAGCUAAUGCAACAGUAGUAUUUAUAUCAUUUGUGGGUGCAGCUAACUCUCCAUGAGGUAACUUUAUAAUUUUCCAAGGCAAAAGGGCCCCUGACCAAUUCGAAACAAAAAUAAAUAGAAACAGAGUUCCAAUAAACGGAACCCAUGGACCAUAUUCUUCUCCAAUCUGAGUUUUGCUCACGUCUCGAAUGAAUUCAAGGACAUAUUCAAAGAAAUUCUGACCAGACGUGGGAAUAGUUUGCGGAUUUCUAACAACUAGAAUGGUUGAAAUUAAUAAGAUAGCAAUUACAACCCAAGAGGUAAUAAGUACUUGAGCAUGCACUUGAAAAUCCCCUAUUUGCCAAUAGAAAUGUUGACCUACUUCCACAGCCGAUAUAUCAUAGAAUCUGUUUAAUGUGUUGAUGUAACAUAAUAGAACAUUCAUAUUGCCCUGUCCUCUAAAAUAAAAAAAUAUAACUUGAAAGGGAAUUAUUUUGAUUNUUGGAUUUUUAUCUUUCUGUUCCUUAAGUAGAUUAUCGCGAGCCAUACAUACUUUGUCGCGGUCUAAAAUCCUAUUUUCAUAACUAGUCAAUGAUGCCCUUCCAUGGAUUCACCUAUAUAUGCCGCAACUAAAGUAGCGAAAAUAAGAGUUUGAAUACCGCUUGUAAAUAAUCCAAGGAACAUAACAGGGAUAGGAACUACUAAAGGUACUAACGAAACAAGAACAACAAU
rnacentral:lncRNA from 1 species